rnacentral:rRNA from 1 species
AGGAAUAUUGGUCAAUGGACGAGAGUCUGAACCAGCCAAGUAGCGUGAAGGAUGACUGCCCUAUGGGUUGUAAACUUCUUUUAUACGGGAAUAAAGUGGAGUAUGCAUACUCCUUUGUAUGUACCGUAUGAAUAAGGAUCGGCUAACUCCGUGCCAGCAGCCGCGGUAAUACGGAGGAUCCGAGCGUUAUCCGGAUUUAUUGGGUUUAAAGGGAGCGUAGGCGGGUGCUUAAGUCAGUUGUGAAAGUUUGCGGCUCAACCGUAAAAUUGCAGUUGAUACUGGGCGCCUUGAGUGCAGCAUAGGUAGGCGGAAUUCGUGGUGUAGCGGUGAAAUGCUUAGAUAUCACGAAGAACUCCGAUUGCGAAGGCAGCUUACUGGACUGUAACUGACGCUGAUGCUCGAAAGUGUGGGUAUCAAACAGGAUUAGAUACCCUGGUAGUCCACACAGUAAACGAUGAAUACUCGCUGUUGGCGAUACACAGUCAGCGGCCAAGCGAAAGCAUUAAGUAUUCCACCUGGGGAGUACGCCGGCAACGGUGAAACUCAAAGGAAUUGACGGGGGCCCGCACAAGCGGAGGAACAUGUGGUUUAAUUCGAUGAUACGCGAGGAACCUUACCCGGGCUUAAAUUGCAGCGGAAUGUAGUGGAAACAUUACAGCCUUCGGGCCGCUGUGAAGGUGCUGCAUGGUUGUCGUCAGCUCGUGCCGUGAGGUGUCGGCUUAAGUGCCAUAACGAGCGCAACCCUUGUUGUCAGUUACUAACAGGUUCCGCUGAGAACUCUGACAAGACUGCCAUCGUAAGAUGUGAGGAAGGUGGGGAUGACGUCAAAUCAGCACGGCCCUUACGUCCGGGGCUACACACGUGUUACAAUGGGGGGUACAGAGGGCCGCUACCACGCGAGUGGAUGCCAAUCCCAAAAACCUCUCUCAGUUCGGACUGGAGUCUGCAACCCGACUCCACGAAGCUGGAUUCGCUAGUAAUCGCGCAUCAGCCACGGCGCGGUGAAUACGUUCCCG